AAAUUGAAGAGUUUGAUCAUGGCUCAGAUUGAACGCUGGCGGCAGGCCUAACACAUGCAAGUCGAACGGUAACAGGAAGCAGCUUGCUGCUUCGCUGACGAGUGGCGGACGGGUGACGAGUGGCGGACGGGUGAGUAAUGUCUGGGAAACUGCCUGAUGGAGGGGGAUAACUACUGGAAACGGUGGCUAAUACCGCAUAACGUCGCAAGACCAAAGAGGGGGACCUUCGGGCCUCUUGCCAUCAGAUGUGCCCAGAUGGGAUUAGCUUGUUGGUGAGGUAACGGCUCAC
rnacentral:rRNA from 1 species